GUAAAAUUAAAUAAUUCAAGAAUUCAAAAUUGAAGCUUAAGCUGGAAGAGUUUUAUUUAAGGAUCAAAAUAAGCUAAACAUAUUGAUAGGUCAGUGAGCUCCUUUUCCAGAUACUUGAUUUUUAAAAUAUGGCGGGAAAAGGCUGACUCAGACUUUUAUCUUAUAUAUGCAUUGGUAUUAUUUGGGUCUCAAAUCAACAGAAAGAAAAUCAAGAAUCUGCUUAAAUUUUGUUAAACGACCUUUUAUGAGUGAUUACUUCUUACGUAAACAAAAUAAAUAGGUGUUAUGCGGCAAAAUAUUUUACCUUGUGUCGUUUAGAGAAAAACACUGAGAAGUCCUAACAUUUGACACUUAUUCCAAAACCUCACCUUUACAUCCUUAAGGUAGCAAAGGAGCAAUUAAAUAGCAAAUAGCAAAACAAACGACAGAAGUCCACCAUGAUACACAGAAAAUUUGAGACUAAACAACGUAAACCCACCAAAUGACCAGAAUAAGGUUAUUUACUUCAAAAGGGUAAACAGUUAUUGAUGUUUAAUUGACUAUCGUUAUAAUUGCUCCUUUCAUUAUACAAUGCAAGGCAUAUUUAACAAUUUGAUCACAGUAAGUGUAUGUCUAAAUGUUGAUGUUCUUUUGAACAUUUUAUCCUGGUCUUUUUACAAUAAGUAUCCAUCAGC
rnacentral:lncRNA from 1 species